CCCCCCCCCCCCCCCCCCCCCCCCCCCCCCCCCCCCCCCCCCCCCCCCCCCCCCCCCCCCCCCCCCCCCCCCCCCCCCCCCCCCCCCCCCCCACCGCCGGCUUCAUGGCGGCCCCGCGCGCCGUCACUUCCGCCGCCGCGGCGCCACCGCGCCCAAUGGCCGCCCCCGCGCGGGGGGCCGCGCAGUCGCCAUGGCGACCAACGCAGGGAGGCCGCCAUCUUGCUCGCCCCGCCCCCGUCGCCACGGCGAUCAACACAGGAGGCCGCCAUCUUGCUCAUCCCGCCCCCGUCGCCAUGGUGAUGGCGGUCGCUGCGCCCCUUCAGGCCCGAGUGAGGCGUCGCCUUCCAAAGAGCCUAUCCCUGAAACCAGACUGCCUGACUUCUGCCAUUUCCUUAUCUACCAAGACUGGAUGGUUAUCUAUGGGACUUGACAAAUUGCCUAGAGACUCACGUCAUCCAGAGAUCCCACGGAGCACCACUGCUUACCUGGCAGAAUUAUGACAACAAAAAAUAACAAUUAUUGAUGACUACAAGGAAACCAUGCUAUAAAAGGGGGCUGCAAACCAAAGUUGGGUGGACCAUGGAGUGGGCUGUGACCCCCAUGUAUCCCCAGCGCUGCUUGCUCUGUCUAUAUAAAAUAAAGCAAUCUAAAUUUUGCUAAAUAUUGGGACUUUUGUUUCUCAUUUAUAACAUACACAGAGAGCAGUCUCCAGAGACGAAGCUGAGAGCAUCACCUGUAACAAAA
rnacentral:lncRNA from 12 species